AAGACCUUGCGCUUUUGGAGCGGCCGAUGCCUGAUUAGCUUGUUGGUAAGGUAAAAGCUUACCAAGGCUUCGAUCAGUAGCUGGUCUGCGAGGACGGCCAGCCACACUGGGACUGAGACACGGCCCAGACUCCUACGGGAGGCAGCAGUGGGGAAUUUUGGACAAUGGGGGCAACCCUGAUCCAGCCAUGCCGCGUGAGUGAAGAAGGCCUUCGGGUUGUAAAGCUCUUUCAGCCGGAACGAAACGGUUACGGUUAAUACCCGUGAUUACUGACGGUACCGGAAGAAGAAGCACCGGCUAACUACGUGCCAGCAGCCGCGGUAAUACGUAGGGUGCGAGCGUUAAUCGGAAUUACUGGGCGUAAAGCGUGCGCAGGUGGUUUUGUAAGUCAGAUGUGAAAGCCCCGGGCUCAACCUGGGAACU
rnacentral:rRNA from 1 species